rnacentral:rRNA from 1 species
GAUGAACGCUAGCGACAGGCUUAACACAUGCAAGUCGAGGGGCAGCACCGGUAGCAAUACCGGGUGGCGACCGGCGCACGGGUGAGUAACGCGUAUGCAACUUACCUAUCAGAGGGGGAUAACCCGGCGAAAGUCGGACUAAUACCGCAUGAAGCAGGGGCCCCGCAUGGGGUUAUUUGCUAAAGAUCCAUCGCUGAUAGAUAGGCAUGCGUUCCAUUAGGCAGUUGGCGGGGUAACGGCCCACCAAACCGACGAUGGAUAGGGGUUCUGAGAGGAAGGUCCCCCACAGUGGUACUGAGACACGGACCAAACUCCUACGGGAGGCAGCAGUGAGGAAUAUUGGUCAAUGGCCGAGAGGCUGAACCAGCCAAGUCGCGUGAGGGAUGAAGGUUCUAUGGAUCGUAAACCUCUUUUAUAAGGGAAUAAAGUGCGGGACGUGUCCCGUUUUGUAUGUACCUUAUGAAUAAGGAUCGGCUAACUCCGUG